GCAUGGUGGUUUAGGGGUUAGCACGUUUGCCUCACACCUCCAGGGUCGGGGGUUUGACUCCCACCAUGCU